rnacentral:rRNA from 1 species
UACGUAGGGGGGCAAGCGUUGUCCGGAUUUAUUGGGCGUAAAGAGCGUGUAGGCGGCCUGACAGGUCUGCUGUGAAAACUCGAGGCUCAACCUCGAGAUGUCGGCGGAAACCGUCUGGCUAGAGUCCGGAAGAGGAGAGUGGAAUUCCUGGUGUAGCGGUGAAAUGCGCAGAUAUCAGGAAGAACACCUAUGGCGAAGGCAGCUCUCUGGGACGGUACUGACGCUGAGAGCGAAAGCGUGGGGAGCGAAACAGG